GCCGAGAUGGCGGAACUGGUAGACGCAUCGGACUUAAAAUCCGAUAGUCCGGAAGGGCUGUACGGGUUCGAAUCCCGCUCUCGGUA
rnacentral:tRNA from 1 species